UACGUAGGGGGCUAGCGUUGUCCGGAAUCAUUGGGCGUAAAGCGCGCGUAGGCGGUCAGGAAAGUCCGGUGUGAAAGUCAUAGGCUCAACCUAUGGAUGCCGCUGGAAACUGCCUGACUUGAGUCCGGAAGGGGCGAGUGGAAUUCCUGGUGUAGCGGUGAAAUGCGCAGAUAUCAGGAGGAACACCAAUUGCGAAGGCAGCUCGCUGGGACGUUACUGACGCUGAAGAGCGAAAGCGUGGGGUAGCAAACAGG
rnacentral:rRNA from 1 species